GCGUCGGUGGUGCAACGGUUGGGGCAUAGCUGCCUUCCAAGCAGUUGACCCGGGUUCGACUCCCGGCCGACGCA